AGUGAACGCUGGCGGCGUGCCUAACACAUGCAAGUCGAACGAGUGGCGCCCGGGUGAGUAAUGUAUACUAAGCUGCUCAACACUAGAGGGCAACAGUUGGUAACGAAUGCAGAUAAUCUAUAGUGUAGGAUGGGGCUAUAUUGUAGCAGCUAGUUGGUGGGGUAAUGGAUCACCACGGCUAUGACGCAUAACUGGGCUGAGAGGAUGAACAGUCACACUGGAACUGAGACACGGUCCAGACUCCUACGGGAGGCAGCAGUGGGGAAUUUUGGACAAUGGGGGAAACCCUGAUCCAGCCAUGCCGCGUGUACGAUGAAGGCCUUCGGGUUGUAAAGCACUUUUGGCAGGAAAGCGUUACCUGCAGAAUAAGCACCGGCUAACUACGUGCCAGCAGCCGCGGUAAUUC
rnacentral:rRNA from 1 species